CUUGCUAGAUGGGAAAGUGGCGCACGGGUGCGUAACGCGUAUGCAACCUACCUUAAUCAGGGGGAUAGCCCGAAGAAAUUCGGAUUAACACCGCAUAAAAUCACAGUACAGCAUUGUACAAUGAUCAAAUAUUUAUAGGAUUAAGAUGGGCAUGCGUGUCAUUAGUUAGUUGGCGAGGUAACGGCUCACCAAGACCACGAUGACUAGGGGAUCUGAGAGGAUGACCCCCCACACUGGUACUGAGACACGGACCAGACUCCUACGGGAGGCAGCAGUAAGGAAUAUUGGUCAAUGGAGGCAACUCUGAACCAGCCAUGCCGCGUGCAGGAAGACAGCCCUCUGGGUCGUAAACUGCUUUUAUUCGGGAAUAAACCUACUUACGUGUAAGUAGCUGAAUGUACCGAAGGAAUAAGGAUCGGCUAACUCCGUGCCAGCAGCCGCGGUAAUACGGAGGAUCCAAGCGUUAUCCGGAUUUAUUGGGUUUAAAGGGUGCGUAGGCGGCUUAUUAAGUCAGGGGUGAAAGACGGUGGCUCAACCAUCGCAGUGCCCUUGAUACUGAUGAGCUUGAAUACACUAGAGGUAGGCGGAAUGUGACAAGUAGCGGUGAAAUGCAUAGAUAUGUCACAGAACACCGAUUGCGAAGGCAGCUUACUAUGGUGUCAUUGACGCUGAGGCACGAAAGCGUGGGGAUCAAACAGGAUUAGAUACCCUGGUAGUCCACGCCCUAAACGAUGAAUACUCGCUGUUAGCGAUACACAGUUAGCGGCUAAGCGAAAGCGUUAAGUAUUCCACCUGGGGAGUACGCCCGCAAGGGUGAAACUCAAAGGAAUUGACGGGGGCCCGCACAAGCGGAGGAGCAUGUGGUUUAAUUCGAUGAUACGCGAGGAACCUUACCCGGGCUUGAAAGUUAGUGAAUGAGAUAGAGAUAUUUCAGUGAGCAAUCACACGAAACUAGGUGCUGCAUGGCUGUCGUCAGCUCGUGCCGUGAGGUGUUGGGUUAAGUCCCGCAACGAGCGCAACCCCUAUGUUUAGUUGCCAGCACGUUAAGGUGGGGACUCUAAACAGACUGCCUGUGCAAACAGAGAGGAAGGAGGGGACGACGUCAAGUCAUCAUGGCCCUUACGUCCGGGGCUACACACGUGCUACAAUGGAUGGUACAGAGGGCAGCAAGCUGGCAACAGCAAGCAAAUCUCAAAAAGCCAUUCACAGUUCGGAUAGAGGUCUGCAACUCGACCUCUUGAAGUUGGAUUCGCUAGUAAUCGCGUAUCAGCAAUGACGCGGUGAAUACGUUCCCGGGCCUUGUACACACCGCCCGUCAAGCCAUGGAAGUUGGGGGUACCUAAA
rnacentral:rRNA from 1 species